UGUCGUGAUAGUAAUUCAACCCAAUAUGAGAAGAACCAUUAAUUCACACAAUUGAUCAUUGUGUUUGGUUGAAAAGCCAGUGGCAUGAAGCUACAGUGUGACAGAUUAUUACUGAACACCUCUAAGUCAGACUCCUGGCUAAGUAUGUGACA
rnacentral:ncRNA from 1 species